AUAAAGACCAGCCAACACCCUCCAUCCAAGCCAACAGCAACCACCAGCCUGAACAGAGGAAGGGUAUUCUAAAGAAUAAGAUCACAUAUCCUCCUCCACUCACAGACAAAAACAUGAAAAACAAACUUAGGGAGAAGUUAUCGGACUACAACCCAACCACCAUCUCCUCCAGAGUGCCUUCUUUAGCUUCUAAUGAUGGGGGCAACGGCCACAACGUCCUAAUCAAGCCCCCUCAUCAGCUGGCCGUCCCACCACGAGAGCAGGAGAACGGCAUGGCCUUGAAUCUGAGAUCAGGAACUGUUAAUGGCGGCAACCAGUCAGACUCUGACGGCAGUAAUGAAACAUCAAUCUGACCCAGCAGGAAACCUGAGGAACUUCUGCCCUCGUGAGGAGCCUUGACAGUGGGAGGAAGGUGGAAAGUGAAGGUGAAUUACCCAAAGACCCUUCCUAUAGGCGCACAUUGCUCUCCAGUGUCUCCCUGGGGUCCAGGCUCCAUUGGAGAAUAGUAUUACUGCAGACAUCUGCCUGUUAAACGAAUGAUAAGGAAAGAAAAGGGAAUGUAUGUAAAUAUGCAAGACGUGGUCAGCGAGGAUUUACGGAAACUGUGCCAAACCACUAGAUGUGGGACUACAACCCUCCCAGCAUGCCGAAUGGCACGCUCUGACCGAGUGACAGGUGGACUUGAAGAGACACAUAAGACUUUGUGUAAUUUUGUACAUUUUACCAAUAGUGCUUCUUAAAACUGUGCAAUUGUGCACACGAUCACACAAGGCUGGAACUGUGUAGAGACAUUUUCUGGUUACGAAGCAUAAAUUGAAACUGAAAUUUUCACCAAGUGCCCGGCUCGGCCCGUCUUCAUAGAAGAGAUCCGUCUCUUAACUAAUACCUUCCUCAUGUAAUUACUGUGUAGAUGUAUAUUUUUUGUUGUUGUUUUGAAAUUGUAAUAUUUUAAGGCCAUUUGUAUAUUGAAAAGCGUUUUAAUAACAUUUGAUGCAAGAUUAUUUUUAUCCAAUGUGGUUAAAUCAAAAAUGUUUUGUACUUAGUAAAUAAUUUGGGCUUCUAUGGUGCUGUAGUCCCAAAACACAAGACUAAAAGUCUAUUAAAAAUACUGUUCGACUUUAACAAUAUUCAGUGGCGAUGUUUAAUAACGUUUGAACUGUGAAGAAAAACCCCAUAGACUCAAGGAAAUGAAAAUGAAUGUGUUUUAUUUAGUAAUUAAGUGACAGUUCACGGUUCAUAUUCCAAAGAAGCAGCAGUGAAAAAGACUUGCAGGUGUUCGAAAUAAUUUCUUAUCACAAAAGACACUGGAUUUCUUAUGACAUAGCUGUAUUUAUUUUUAUGUUUUGAGACACUGGACAAAAAUUG